rnacentral:rRNA from 1 species
GACAGAGGGGGCGAGCGUUGUCCGGCUUCACAGGGCGUAAAGCGCGCGCAGGCGGCAACCUUAGUGUCGUGUGAAAGCCCCCGGCUCAACCGGGGGAGGCCAUGGCAAACUGGGUCGCUCGAGCUGCGGAGAGGCUCCUCGAAUUGCCGGUGUAGCGGUGAAAUGCGUAGAGAUCGGCAGGAAGACCAAGGGGGAAGCCAGGGGGCUGGCCGCAGGCUGACGCUGAGGCGCGACAGCGUGGGGAGCAAACCGG